GGUGGAAGAUUUUGAAAAAAUUUGCUUCUUUUGGCCGUGAAUUCGAAUCUUCUUUCCCUCCAAUUCAUCACAUUGCUUACUGGGCCAUAAGCAAGAGUCCAGUCCAACAAGGCCCAAAGAAGCCCGGUCCGGAUUGAACAAAAGAAUAAAAAAAACGCAUGCGUUGAAAAGUGGACAGUGGAACAGCAUCGAGAAGUCGUUUUCAUUGAACAAUUCCACAGAACUCAUCUUCUUCUUUUGGCUAUGAAUUUUGAAACCAUUUUCAAAUCCAAAAAGUUUCAUCAUCUUAUCGAUGCAACAUCUACUUCUCCCUCUGUCAUCGCAAGAGAAAUUCCAUUUUUAUCCCUU
rnacentral:lncRNA from 1 species